UACGAAGGGGACUAGCGUUGUUCGGAAUUACUGGGCGUAAAGCGCACGUAGGCGGAUUUGUAAGUCAGGGGUGAAAUCCCGGGGCUCAACCUCGGAACUGCCUUUGAUACUGCAAAUCUCGAGUCCGAUAGAGGUGGGUGGAAUUCCUAGUGUAGAGGUGAAAUUCGUAGAUAUUAGGAAGAACACCGGUGGUGAAGGCGGCCCACUGGAUCGGUACUGACGCUGAGGUGCGAAAGCGUGGGGAGCAAACAGG
rnacentral:rRNA from 1 species